GACGGGGGGGGCAAGUGUUCUUCGGAAUGACUGGGCGUAAAGGGCACGUAGACGGUGAAUCGGGUUGAAAGUGAAAGUCGCCAAAAAGUGGCGGAAUGCUCUCGAAACCAAUUCACUUGAGUGAGACAGAGGAGAGUGGAAUUUCGUGUGUAGGGGUGAAAUCCGUAGAUCUACGAAGGAACGCCAAAAGCGAAGGCAGCUCUCUGGGUCACUACCGACGCUGGGGUGCGAAAGCAUGGGGAGCGAACAGG
rnacentral:rRNA from 1 species